rnacentral:rRNA from 1 species
GACGAACGCUGGCGGCGUGCUUAACACAUGCAAGUCGAGCGGUAAGGCCCUUUCGGGGGUACACGAGCGGCGAACGGGUGAGUAACACGUGGGUGACCUGCCCUCAGCUCUGGGAUAAGCCCGGGAAACUGGGUCUAAUACCGGAUAUGACUUCAUGACGCAUGUUGUGGAGUGGAAAGCCUUGUGCGGCUGAGGAUGGGCCCGCGGCCUAUCAGCUUGUUGGUGGGGUGANGGCCUACCAAGGCGACGACGGGUAGCCGGCCUGAGAGGGCAACCGGCCACACUGGGACUGAGAUACGGCCCAGACUCCUACGGGAGGCAGCAGUGGGGAAUCUUGCGCAAUGGGCGAAAGCCUGACGCAGCGACGCCGCGUGA